rnacentral:rRNA from 1 species
GUGGGGAAUUUUGGACAAUGGGCGCAAGCCUGAUCCAGCAAUGCCGCGUGCAGGAAGAAGGCCUUCGGGUUGUAAACUGCUUUUGUACGGAACGAAACGGUCCGGGUUAAUACCCUGGGCUAAUGACGGUACCGUAAGAAUAAGCACCGGCUAACUACGUGCCAGCAGCCGCGGUAAUACGUAGGGUGCAAGCGUUAAUCGGAAUUACUGGGCGUAAAGCGUGCGCAGGCGGUUUUGUAAGACAGGUGUGAAAUCCCCGGGCUUAACCUGGGAACUGCGCUUGUGACUGCACGGCUAGAGUAUGGCAGAGGGGGGUGGAAUUCCACGUGUAGCAGUGAAAUGCGUAGAGAUGUGGAGGAACACCGAUGGCGAAGGCAGCCCCCUGGGCCAAUACUGACGCUCAUGCACGAAAGCGUGGGGAGCAAACAGGAUUAGAAACCCCUGUAGUCC